AAACAAAUCAGCUGAGUUGGAGUGCUAGUAUUCUGAACGACAGAUCAGACGCAUGUGAAAGAGAUGCAUAUUAAAUUAAUUGAAUCAGGACAAAUAUACCAAAUAUACGAGCGCCUUGACUUGCGUGGAGUUUUCGUCACAAGCCUUGAAUCACCACCACCACCAUCUCUUAUCAAUCCCUCUGUCCGUCUCUCUCCACCUUUAUCUCUUCCUUCCUCUCUCUCUUUCCUGAAGGUUGCUCACAGGCUUGUUAUGAAAACUCCUUUGCUCAAACACUGUGAAUGACUUUUAUAGCUAUGAGAUCUGAGGGCAUCAGGAAAUCAACUGCUAUGGGACAAGAGGUUAUUAUGAGCAAAGACUGGGUAUUUGAGCUAAAGAACCGAAGAGGAAGAUGUGAUUGUAUCAGUUCUGCAAGGAUUUCACAUUGCAAUUGCAGGUUACAAGGGUUAUAACCAAGCAUUGGUGCAACUGUGUAUGAGCUAUGCAGUAUUUUCCGUUUUAUUUGUGUUUGUGUUUCUUAAUACCAGCAAAUUUGCAUCUAAAAAAAAAGGUAACGGGAGGAAGAUCUUUAACACACCCUAGAAGUAGAAUCAUUGAAACGCAAACUAACAGGCAUUUUAUUCUGGUUAUCAUUACUGUUCUUGGAAUUCACAUUUGGUACUUAAAAUGAGUAAGAAGUUUAUUAUUCUGUUUGUUUGGUUUUGCAUAAGGGGAUGUAUAAGGUGUCAUCGAGCUAAAGUUAUGAGCUUAUGGCAGCAGGACCAUCAAAAGAAAGAUUGUACUCGUGUUUGCAUUGGUAGUGUUUAAGAAAGUCCACUUGCUUUUCUAUUAAUUAACCAUAAAACAAACAUGCAAAUGUGAUGUUUGGCUGGUAAGCAAGGGCUCAAAAAUAAACGUGUGAUCUAGGGCCUUGUGUUUGAUGUUUCACUACAAUGUAUUUUUAUGUGUUUUGUUGCGUCUCAUCUUCUUUUCUUGUGCUGGA